rnacentral:rRNA from 1 species
AUUGAACGCUGGCGGCAGGCCUAACACAUGCAAGUCGAACGAGUGGCGGACGGGUGAGUAAUGUCUGGGAAACUACCUGAUGGAGGGGGAUAACUACUGGAAACGGUAGCUAAUACCGCAUACCAUCAGAUGUGCCCAGAUUGGAUUAGCUUGUUGGUGGGGUAACGGCUGACCAAGGCGAAGAUCCCUAGCUGGUCUGAGAGGAUGACCAGCCACACUGGAACUGAGACACGGCCCAGACUCCUACGGGAGGCAGCAGUGGGGAAUAUUGCACAAUGGGCGCAAGCCUGAUGCAGCCAUGCCGCGUGAAUGAAGAAGGUUUUCGGGUUGUAAAGUUCUUUCGGCGGGGAGGCGUUACCCGAAGAAGAAGUACCGGCUAACUCCGUGCCAGCAGCCGCGGUAAUAC